rnacentral:lncRNA from 1 species
AUGUUACAGAGCAGUUCUUAUGGGAAUAUUUCACCAAGGGUCAAUGUUGACUAAGCCCAGCGCUUCUGAGGUAGGUUAGAUGGCAUGGCGUAACAGUGGAUGAAAAUAUAUAGAAGCUACUUGAGGUAAAAUGCUGAGCAGAUUUUGCAGUUUGCACUCAUCUAUUUUAGCAGAAUUAUAGAGCCUAAUUAUUAGGUAUCAAUGAAAAUGAGAUAAAAUUUUAAUACCACCUUUAAUGUGUGUCUAGAGUAUAUUUAGGUUGAAUGAAAAGUCUUAAGUUUUGGUAAAUGCUAACACUACACAGACCGCUUUGAGACUGGCCCUGGACAGACUUCUCCGAGAGAGUGGGCAAAGUCUGGGUUCUGUUCUUUUCUUUUCUAGCUGGAGGAAAUAUUCCCAGCAGGCCCCAGUGUUAUAUGUCUUGUACAAAGCUACUAUUGUGUCAGGGAAUUGAAAACAUGUUCUUAUGUAUUCAGUGGUUGGGUCUCUAUGCUGUCCAUGCCAGUGUGACUAUAUGUAUACUUCAUUUUUGACCUAAAUAGUUCUUUGUAGUUCCUUUUCCCCACUUUGAGUAAGGAGAAUAAAAGAGUGAACUAUCCCAACAGCAGAGUGUGGGUCAAGUGUCCAGAGACCAAACCCCUGAGUAGUCCUGGGCUAGUGACUUAAAGAAAUAAACAACCCCCCCCCCCAAAACCUGAAAACCAACAAAACCCUAGCACUAGACCAGUCUUUAGAGGAGAAAGUGCACGUCUGCAGCUUCCUCUUUUGACACCUGUGAUCUGCUCUAACUGGUAAGUUAUACCAACACCUUAUUAUCACCUGUGAGCCUCAGUCGCAGUAGCUUUUGCUCUGCUGCACUUUGUGGGUUUCGGCCAGCGUGGGGUGUGUUUGCCAUCACAGAACAGUGCGGAGAGGCUCACUGCUUUAAAAAGUCUUCCCAGGCCUCGACGCAUGGAGCUUUUGCUCUCUGGCUUUUUGCCUCUUUAAAGAAGGAUUUGAUGUAGUCAAAACUGUACGGAAUAUAUUCUGUUCAUACCAGGAUGUUUAACGUUGUAAUAUUCUCCACGUCACUUGUUUUCUUCGUUUGGUUUUUGGAGACAGGAUCUCAGCAUGUAGCCCAGGCUGGCCUGGAACUUGCUGUGCCACCCAAGCUGGCCCUCAGACUUACUCUUCUCUCGAGCAUUGGGACUACAGGUGUGAGUUACCAGGCCUGGUACACCAUGUCUCUCAUGGUGUAGGGUAUCAUCUUUUUUUUAAUUGCUGAGUAAUUGUCCAUUGUUUAAUGUCCCACCAUUUAAAUCUGUUUAUCCAAUGAAGGGCAUCUUGUUUGCUUCCAUUUUUGUUUUGCUAAACGAGUAUAAAAGCUUCUAUACCCAUUGUGUGCAUGACUUUAAGGACGGACUUGAAGUCUCAAGUAACUUAGGUCGAGGAAUGAGCUUGGAGGAUUUUAAGGAUUUUAGGUUUGUACGACCUGUACUCUUUCUCUGAAGCGGCCCUGUCGUCCUCUGUUUGCACCAGCAGGGAAUGAGAGUUCCCGUCAUUCCGCGUCCACGUCAGCGUUGGAUGAUGUUUUGCUUAAUCGAUUUUGUGUUGCUAUAGCAGAAGGCUGGAUAAGUUAUAAGAAAAGAGUCUGCUUUGGCUCCUGUUCUAACCCCAGGCAGCUACACCUGGUCUGUUUCUAGUUAGGGCCCCAUGCAGUCUCUGACCGAAGCUGAGCUGUGGGAAGGAAGAAUGCUAAAGCAAGUGUCCUUGGGAAAAGCUGUGCAGGAGAGGUCAGCGGAGGGGCCCAGUUUGCUUAGCCCACUAAUGAGGAUAGUGGAUGCCUGCCUGCUCACCCUCGAGGGUGGCACCUCGGGCACUUCAGUGCACGGGAGAGCUAAGCCUCAGCAGGAUUAGAUGCAGACCUUGGCUCUGCCAGGUGACUUUCGCCAUUGCCCUUUCAGACUUGAGCUUGGGUCAUCAUUGCUUUUAAUCUGCAGUCCAUUAGAUGAGUCUGUUUCGAUCUCUCCCCACUUUUCUUUGUGUGGGAUUUUGGUGCGGGAAAAUCAGAGCACAUCUGGGGUCUCUCACUCUGCCAGGUGACCUCCGCCAGCUGGCUGCACCUCCACCCAGCAUGUACUACUGCACGGUUUUAUUUGGUUGCUUUUUUAUUUUUUUAUUGUUGUGUUCUAAGAGAUCUUUGUACCGGUUCUGGAAAGCAGUACUUUGCAGUCAUCAGUGGCCCUUUUAGCCCAACCUCCUUUGGAUGCCUUU